AACCAGGUGGUUUACACGAAUUAAUAUGGUUCAGUCUAGUUGUCAAUGACUUCAUGGACUGGCUCUAGGUAUGGGUUUGAGUGGUCCUAGCUUUUCCCUAACCUAGCCUGAGAAAUGGCUACCACAUCCAAGGACGGCAGCAGGCGCGAAAAUUACCCACUCCCGGCACGGGGAGGUAGUGACGAAAAAUACGGAUACGGGACUCAAUUGAGGCUCCGUAAUUCGAAUGAGUACAAUUUAAAUCCUUUAACGAGGACCAAUUGGAGGGCAAGUCUGGUGCCAGCAGCCGCGGUAACUCCAGCUCCAAAAGCGUAUAUUAAAGUUGCUGCAGUUAAAAAGCUCGUAGUUGGAUCUGGGUCGUGCGGUCGCAUGCCGCUGCUUGUUCACGGUUUUGGUUACGAUCAGGACGUGUUCAGCUCGGUGUAGUGGCUGUGCAGCCUUUCAGCCGUGUCUGUGUUAAACGGGUGCUGGUGGGUUGACGAGUUCGUCUUGUUGACCUGUCGGCAUGCUUCCGGAUGCCUUUAAACGGGUGUCGGGAGCGGACGGCAUCUUUACUUUGAACAAAUUUGAGUGCUCAAAGCAGGCCUGUGCGCCUGAAAAUUCUUGCAUGGAAUAAUGAAAUAGGACUUCGGUUCUAUUUUGUUGGUUUUCGGAUCCGAAGUAAUGGUUAAGAGUGACAGACGGGAACAUUUGUACGGCGGUGUUAGAGGUGAAAUUCUGGGAUUGCCUACAGACAAACUACAGCGAAAGCAUUUGCCAAGAAUGUUUUGAUUGAGCAGGAGCGAAAGUCAGAGUUUCGAAGACGAUCAGAUACUGUCGUUGUUCUGACCAUAAACGAUGCCAACUGACGAUCCGCGUUGGUUUUAUAAUUGACAUCGCGGGCAGACCCCGGGAGACCUCUAAGUCUUUGGGCUCCGGGGGGAGUAUGGUUGCAAAGCUUAAACUUAAAUGAAAAUUAUGGAAGGGCACCACCAGGAGUGGAGCCUGCAGUUUAAUUCGACUCAACACAAGAAAACUCACCCGGCCCGGACACUGUGACGAUUGACAGCUCUUUCUUGAUUCGGUGAGUGGUGGUGCAUGGCCGUUUUUAGUUGGUGGAGCGAGUUGUCUGGUUAAUUCCGAUAACGAACGAGACUUUAACCUGCUAAAUAGUAGAAUGGUCCACUGUGCUCGUUUAGGGCGCGGCUUCUAUUGCUUCUUUAUGGAGUAGUGUGGUCGUGAUCCGGUGGGUGCGGUCUCAGUUCUCAGAGGGACAAGCGGCACACUUAAGUCACACGAAAUUGAGCAAUAACAGGUCUGUGAUGCCCUUAGAUGUCCGGGGCCACAAGUGCGCUACAAUGACGGUGCCAGCGAGUCUGGAAACCUGGCUCGAAAGGGUUGGGCAAACUGUAUCAUCACCGUCGUGACUUGCAAUUAUUCCCCGUGAACGAGGGAUUCCUAGUAAGUGCAAGUCAUAAGCUUGCGCUGAUUACGUCCCUGCCCUUUGUACACACCGCCCGUCGCUACUACCAACUGAAUAGUUUAGUGAGGUCGUUGUAGUGGCUUUGCCGCUCGACUGAUGCUAAAAUGACCAGAAUACUCUAGAAUCUUCUCAUGUAAAAACUAUAAAUAUACUAACGUUUUCCCUAUUGUGCUUCUUACUUCCAUCUAACCUUGUUAUUUGGAAUAUAA
rfam:Schistosoma margrebowiei strain Zambia genome assembly, scaffold: SMRZ_contig0000335